rnacentral:lncRNA from 1 species
GUUUGCUUACUUUAAAAAAAAAUCUUCUUCUGAAUAUGCUUAAUCAAUUUCAGCCCAACUUGGGAGUAUCUUGUAUAAAUUUAGUUUUUUAUUUCCUUGUACUUCAAGAAACUUAGCCACUAUGGCUAAAAUGGAACAUAGGGGUAAAAUGCAUUUUUUGCUUUUGAAGAAAAAAACGACAGAUACAAAGAACAUUUAAAUGGAAUUGUUAAGCCACUCAUUGAUAUAUAUUGAAAGGGACA